rnacentral:rRNA from 1 species
UGAGGAAUAUUGGUCAAUGGACGAGAGUCUGAACCAGCCAAGUAGCGUGCAGGAUGACGGCCCUAUGGGUUGUAAACUGCUUUUGUUUGGGAAUAAUCGACAUUACGUGUAAUGUUUUGCAUGUACCAUUCGAAUAAGGACCGACUAAUUCCGUGCCAGCAGCCGCGGUAAUACGGAAGGUCCAGGCGUUAUCCGGAUUUAUUGGGUUUAAAGGGAGUGUAGGCGGUUGGUUAAGCGUGUUGUGAAAUGUAGAUGCUCAACAUCUGACUUGCAGCGCGAACUGGCUGACUUGAGUACACACAACGUAGGCGGAAUUCAUGGUGUAGCGGUGAAAUGCUUAGAUAUCAUGAAGAACUCCGAUUGCGAAGGCAGCUUACGGGAGUGUUACUGACGCUUAAGCUCGAAGGUGCGGGUAUCGAACAGG